rnacentral:rRNA from 1 species
UACGGAGGAUCCAAGCGUUAUCCGGAUUUAUUGGGUUUAAAGGGUGCGUAGGCUGGAUAUUAAGUCAGAGGUGAAAGCCUGCAGCUCAACUGCAGAAUUGCCUUUGAUACUGUUGUUCUUGAGUACAUUUGGUGUGGGCGGAAUGUGUCAUGUAGCGGUGAAAUGCUUAGAUAUGACACAGAACACCGAUCGCGAAGGCAGCUCACAAAACUGUUACUGACGCUGAGGCACGAAAGCGUGGGGAUCGAACAGG